UGGGGAAUAUUGGACAAUGGGCGCAAGCCUGAUCCAGCCAUACCGCGUGGGUGAAGAAGGCCUUCGGGUUGUAAAGCCCUUUUGUUGGGAAAGAAAUCCAGCUGGCUAAUACCCGGUUGGGAUGACGGUACCCAAAGAAUAAGCACCGGCUAACUUCGUGCCAGCAGCCGCGGUAAUACGAAGGGUGCAAGCGUUACUCGGAAUUACUGGGCGUAAAGCGUGCGUAGGUGGUCGUUUAAGUCCGUUGUGAAAGCCCUGGGCUCAACCUGGGAACUGCAGUGGAUACUUGGCGACUAGAGUGUGGUAGAGGGUAGCGGAAUUCCUGGUGUAGCAGUGAAAUGCGUAGAGAUCAGGAGGAACAUCCAUGGCGAAGGCAGCUACCUGGACCAACACUGACACUGAGGCACGAAAGCGUGGGGAGCAAACAGGAUUAGAUACCCUGGUAGUCCACGCCCUAAACGAUGCGAACUGGAUGUUGGGUGCAAUUUGGCACGCAGUAUCGAAGCUAACGCGUUAAGUUCGCCGCCUGGGAGUACGGUCGCAAGACUGAAACUCAAAUGAAUUGAC
rnacentral:rRNA from 1 species